CCUGUUUAACUUUGUCCUGUAGUCCACCAGACGUCCCUUCGUCCGUAUCCGACUUCCUCUAAUGUUUCGGCGUGAUGUAUUUCCCCCUCUCUACACCGCGCACUUCUGUGAUGUCCGGCGUUUUGUCUCCUGACUCUAUCUACAGAGUCCUUUCUGUUAAGUGUCUCUACGUCCUGGUUUUCACCUGAUACGAGGCACAGAGGCGCUGUUCAGGUUCCGAUUGGGUUUCUGUUGCUAAGCGACCAGCCCUAACGUUCUAACAGCGCGUGGUUUCACACUGUACACGUUCAACACCGCCGUGUGGAGUUAACACCGUAAAAGCCGAGCCAACUCUGAUUCAUAACCCCUGAGUGUUCGCUGCAUUGCCUCGUACCUGUGGCGCUCCACAAACAGGAUAAGGAGGGGAUAAAAAGCGUAGAUGUCCUGCACCAACACGGCGAACUUCUCCUGCACAGCCAACUCCAUCUCCGCCACAUCUCCACACCUCUCCGUCUUCAUACGCUCCUCCUCCUGCACCACUGACUCUGCCCUCUUCUUCAGCUUCUCCAUCAGAGGCAGGAAGUGACUCGUCAGGAGACCGGGCUCUGCCUUACGGACCAGCGGCUGGACAGACGCUGACGAAAAGAGUUUAUAAAACACCAGGAAAGAAAAUAUUUAUUCUGCUGUUGGGGUCGAGUUUAUUUUAACCUGAUAAUUUGCUUACGUCUCACUCACCUGCGAUCCGUUUCAUCCAGCUGCAUUCGUGUCUGCCCAUGUGGGUAUGGAUGAUGGUGAGGAUUUGCCCCAGUAGGGUGUUGGUGUGUGAGGGUGUGAGAGAGGAGCAGGAUGCCCCGUUCUGCCCCUCAACCCCCCGAGCAUCCUCUUCAUCCCAUCGACACACGUAGCUGCACAGCAGAGGAACAGUUACCUCCAUGACCCUGGACAGAAGGACGUGACGAGAUGCUGACUCCGCCUCCAGCAUGUCCUCCACUUCUGACAGAGCUUCCUGCAGGGAUGGGAGGGGCCUGGACAAAUCCUCUGCUACAGUGGACACGCCUACUUCUGGCAGAGGAAAUACAGUGUAUAUAUAAAAAUGUUAUUUUACAAAUUAUUUUACAAAAAGUUUUUAAAAGUUUGUUUUGAGUCAUAGUUGGAAUGGGAGUUUCACUGAAACCUGGCAACCCUUACCUUGAGCUUCAUGUAAAGCUCCACAUUAAAGUACAAACACAUGUAUGUGAGUUUUUAUUGUUUGUUCGUUUUACACCUAGGCUGAAGAUUUGGAACGAGAGAAUGAACUAAAAUAAAAAAAAUAGAAUUCUC